UACGAAGGGGGCUAGCGUUGUUCGGAAUUACUGGGCGUAAAGCGCGUGUAGGCGGGUCUUUAAGUCAGGGGUGAAAUGCCAAGGCUCAACCUUGGAACUGCCUUUGAUACUGGAGAUCUUGAGUCCGGGAGAGGUGAGUGGAACUGCGAGUGUAGAGGUGAAAUUCGUAGAUAUUCGGAAGAACACCAGUGGCGAAGGCGACAUACUGGGUCAUGACUGACGCUGAGGCUCGAAAGCGUGGGGAGCAAACAGG
rnacentral:rRNA from 1 species